rnacentral:rRNA from 1 species
GACGAACGCUGGCGGCGUGCUUAACACAUGCAAGUCGAACGGAAAGGCCCUGCUUUUGUGGGGUGCUCGAGUGGCGAACGGGGGAGUAACACGUGAGUAACCUGCCCUUGACUUUGGGAUAACUUCAGGAAACUGGGGCUAAUACCGGAUAGGAGCUCCUGCUGCAUGGUGGGGGGUGGAAAGUUUCGGCGGUUGGGGAUGGACUCGCGGCUUAUCAGCUUGUUGGUGGGGUAGUGGCUGACCAAGGCUUGGACGGGUAGCCGGCCUGGGAGGGUGAACGGCCACAUUGGGACUGAGAUACGGACCAGACUCCUACGGGAGGCAGCAGUGGGGAAUAUUGCCCAAUGGGCGGAAGCCUGAUGCAGAAACGCCGCGUGCGGGAUGACGGCCUUCGGGUUGUAAACAGCUUUAGCCUGUGACGAAGCGUGAGUGACGGUAAUGGGUAAAGAAGCACCGGCUAACUACGUG